AAUGAACGUUGGCGGCGUGGAUUAGGCAUGCAAGUCGAGCGAGAAGGAACUUCUCACCACGGAGCUUUUAGUUGGUAUUGCUGAAAGCUUUGAGGUGAGAAGUUCCGGAAAGCGGCGAAAGGGAGAGUAACGCGUAGUUACGUACCCCGGGGUCCGGAAUAGCUGCGGGAAACUGCAGGUAAUGCCGGAUAACAUCCCCGGAUCAAAGGUGUGAUUCCGCCCUGGGAGCGGACUGCGUUGUACUAGCUAGUUGGUGAGGUAAUGGCUCACCAAGGCGAUGAUGCAUAGCGGGUGUGAGAGCAUGACCCGUCUCACUGGGACUGAGACACUGCCCAGACACCUACGGGUGGCUGCAGUCGAGAAUCUUCGGCAAUGCGCGCAAGCGUGACCGAGCGACGCCGUGUGUGGGAUGAAGGCCUUCGGGUUGUAAACCACUGUCGUAGGGGAGGAAAUCAACCGGGGUUCUCCCCGGUAGUUGACCUAUCCUAGGAGGAAGGACGGGCUAAGUUCGUGCCAGCAGCCGCCGUAAGAC
rnacentral:rRNA from 1 species